rnacentral:rRNA from 1 species
UCAUAGGGAUGAAGAGCUUCGGCUCUGAAUAUCUAUGGCUAGAUAAAGUACAAGUCGUAACAAGGUUUCAGUU